GGGACACGUGGUAUCCUGUCUGAAUAUGGGGGGACCAUCCUCCAAGGCUAAAUACUCCUGACUGACCGAUAGUGAACCAGUACCGUGAGGGAAAGGCGAAAAGAACCCCGGCGAGGGGAGUGAAAAAGAACCUGAAACCGUGUACGUACAAGCAGUGGGAGCACGCUUAGGCGUGUGACUGCGUACCUUUUGUAUAAUGGGUCAGCGACUUAUAUUCUGUAGCAAGGUUAACCGAAUAGGGGAGCCGAAGGGAAACCGAGUCUUAACUGGGCGUUAAGUUGCAGGGUAUAGACCCGAAACCCGGUGAUCUAGCCAUGGGCAGGUUGAAGGUUGGGUAACACUAACUGGAGGACCGAACCGACUAAUGUUGAAAAAUUAGCGGAUGACUUGUGGCUGGGGGUGAAAGGCCAAUCAAACCGGGAGAUAGCUGGUUCUCCCCGAAAGCUAUUUAGGUAGCGCCUCGUGAAUUCAUCUCCGGGGGUAGAGCACUGUUUCGGCAAGGGGGUCAUCCCGACUUACCAACCCGAUGCAAACUGCGAAUACCGGAGAAUGUUAUCACGGGAGACACACGGCGGGUGCUAACGUCCGUCGUGAAGAGGGAAACAACCCAGACCGCCAGCUAAGGUCCCAAAGUCAUGGUUAAGUGGGAAACGAUGUGGGAAGGCCCAGACAGCCAGGAUGUUGGCUUAGAAGCAGCCAUCAUUUAAAGAAAGCGUAAUAGCUCACUGGUCGAGUCGGCCUGCGCGGAAGAUGUAACGGGGCUAAACCAUGCACCGAAGCUGCGGCAGCGACGCUUAUGCGUUGUUGGGUAGGGGAGCGUUCUGUAAGCCUGUGAAGGUGUGCUGUGAGGCAUGCUGGAGGUAUCAGAAGUGCGAAUGCUGACAUAAGUAACGAUAAAGCGGGUGAAAAGCCCGCUCGCCGGAAGACCAAGGGUUCCUGUCCAACGUUAAUCGGGGCAGGGUGAGUCGACCCCUAAGGCGAGGCCGAAAGGCGUAGUCGAUGGGAAACAGGUUAAUAUUCCUGUACUUGGUGUUACUGCGAAGGGGGGACGGAGAAGGCUAUGUUGGCCGGGCGACGGUUGUCCCGGUUUAAGCGUGUAGGCUGGUUUUCCAGGCAAAUCCGGAAAAUCAAGGCUGAGGCGUGAUGACGAGGCACUACGGUGCUGAAGCAACAAAUGCCCUGCUUCCAGGAAAAGCCUCUAAGCAUCAGGUAACAUCAAAUCGUACCCCAAACCGACACAGGUGGUCAGGUAGAGAAUACCAAGGCGCUUGAGAGAACUCGGGUGAAGGAACUAGGCAAAAUGGUGCCGUAACUUCGGGAGAAGGCACGCUGAUAUGUAGGUGAAGCGACUUGCUCGUGGAGCUGAAAUCAGUCGAAGAUACCAGCUGGCUGCAACUGUUUAUUAAAAACACAGCACUGUGCAAACACGAAAGUGGACGUAUACGGUGUGACGCCUGCCCGGUGCCGGAAGGUUAAUUGAUGGGGUCAGCGCAAGCGAAGCUCUUGAUCGAAGCCCCGGUAAACGGCGGCCGUAACUAUAACGGUCCUAAGGUAGCGAAAUUCCUUGUCGGGUAAGUUCCGACCUGCACGAAUGGCGUAAUGAUGGCCAGGCUGUCUCCACCCGAGACUCAGUGAAAUUGAACUCGCUGUGAAGAUGCAGUGUACCCGCGGCAAGACGGAAAGACCCCGUGAACCUUUACUAUAGCUUGACACUGAACAUUGAGCCUUGAUGUGUAGGAUAGGUGGGAGGCUUAGAAGUGUGGACGCCAGUCUGCAUGGAGCCGACCUUGAAAUACCACCCUUUAAUGUUUGAUGUUCUAACGUUGACCCGUAAUCCGGGUUGCGGACAGUGUCUGGUGGGUAGUUUGACUGGGGCGGUCUCCUCCUAAAGAGUAACGGAGGAGCACGAAGGUUGGCUAAUCCUGGUCGGACAUCAGGAGGUUAGUGCAAUGGCAUAAGCCAGCUUGACUGCGAGCGUGACGGCGCGAGCAGGUGCGAAAGCAGGUCAUAGUGAUCCGGUGGUUCUGAAUGGAAGGGCCAUCGCUCAACGGAUAAAAGGUACUCCGGGGAUAACAGGCUGAUACCGCCCAAGAGUUCAUAUCGACGGCGGUGUUUGGCACCUCGAUGUCGGCUCAUCACAUCCUGGGGCUGAAGUAGGUCCCAAGGGUAUGGCUGUUCGCCAUUUAAAGUGGUACGCGAGCUGGGUUUAGAACGUCGUGAGACAGUUCGGUCCCUAUCUGCCGUGGGCGCUGGAGAACUGAGGGGGGCUGCUCCUAGUACGAGAGGACCGGAGUGGACGCAUCACUGGUGUUCGGGUUGUCAUGCCAAUGGCACUGCCCGGUAGCUAAAUGCGGAAGAGAUAAGUGCUGAAAGCAUCUAAGCACGAAACUUGCC
rnacentral:rRNA from 1 species